rnacentral:rRNA from 1 species
AUUGAACGCUGGCGGCAUGCCUUACACAUGCAAGUCGAACGGUAACGGGCCUUCGGGUGCCGACGAGUGGCGCACGGGUGAGUAAUACAUCGGAACGUGCCCGAUCGUGGGGGAUAACGAGGCGAAAGCUUUGCUAAUACCGCAUACGAUCUACGGAUGAAAGCCGGGGACCGCAAGGCCUUGCGCGGACGGAGCGGCCGAUGGCAGAUUAGGUAGUUGGUGGGAUAAAAGCUUACGAAGCCGACGAUCUGUAGCUGGUCUGAGAGGAUGAUCAGCCACACUGGGACUGAGACACGGCCCAGACUCCUGCGGGAGGCAGCAGUGGGGAAUUUUGGACAAUGGGCGCAAGCCUGAUCCAGCCAUGCCGCGUGCAGGAUGAAGGCCUUCGGGUUGUAAACUGCUUUUGUACGGAACGAAAAGCCUUCUUUUAAUACAGGAGGGUCAUGACGGUACCGUAAGAAUAAGCACCGGCUAACUACGUG